GUCCCAUUUCGAGCUCUCUCUCCCUCACACUCACACGUGGAAACUUAAGAGCUGGAAAUACAUUCUUCUUACUUUCAUCACAAGAUUGUUCAUUCCAUCCUUGGGAGAAUAAUACAGAUGUUUCAGAAUUGUGGAUGGGAUUUUCAGAUGUACAAUUAUCAGAUUUUCCCCCAGCCUGGGACAGGCAAAUCCUGGCAAAUGCAAUCCAUUGACUGUGCUGAAGAAAUAUCUUCAGAGAGAAAGAUGGAGAAAGUGAGUGGAAGAUUAUUUUAUUGGUGUAAUUAAAAGC
rnacentral:lncRNA from 11 species